GAGGCCUCGCUCUUCUUCUUCGCGGUUACAACUAGGCGAGCGACGCGAAAGCUCGACAUAUGGGCCAAACCGGCUCCCGUCGCGUUCGGCUUACGCAUCCUCGCGUUCCCCUCGCCCCCUCCCCCUCGCGCCCUCUGCCUGCCGUUGGCUUUUCUGGUUGCUAGGAGACGGACAGAAGCUGCCCUCGUGAGAAUUCCUGUUGGGAUUCUCUUCCUGGGCGUGAAGUACAUAGUCAAGUCUCCCCCUUUCCAUAAAGGUCAACAAACAUCUGGAGAUCAAGUGUGGGAAUCCUACAUAUGUUACUGAAGAAUGGCAGCUUGUCAGUUUCUAUUGAAUGGAACCCAUCAUUCUUUGUAUAACUGUUUUCAGGUAUUUCCUGCAAGGGUUCAUUUCCAAGAGGUAGAGUAAAUCAGAUUUCAACAGAUAAUUUAUUUGUCUUUUAGGUGGACGUGUGCUUCAGUGAUGCUUUGUUAUGUUAAGAACUGUGUUGUUCAUUGAACUUUGACUACUGAUUCAGGCUUAGCACAAGUGUUGUGUAACAGAGUUAUUCAGGAUGCUAAAAACAUAGAUCUGUAGUAGGAUUCCUCUCAUAUAUGAAAUGAAGUGGAACUUGGAUCUUAUCCAUUGUGUUUCCUUGUCAAUUUAUUUCCUAUGCGUUAUUCUAGCCCACAUCCAAAAUCAGUUCAAUAUGCAUUGCCCAUCUUGAGAAGUAAAAUUUACUAGGUAGUCCCACUGAACCUUCUUGGAUUUACUUACUUACUUUGGAGUAAAUAUAGUUAGACUCCUAUAAGUAUAAAUGGUUUGUUUGAAAUGCCACCAUUAAACAAUUUACUAUGGCCUGACAUAUGCACUUUGAGUUUAACAAAUGGCAAGAAAAGCCAAUUUUGCAUGCUUUUUUGGUUUGUACAUGAUCUCAAUACAACAUUACAAAAAUGAUUUCUGCCAUUUUUUUUAUUAAGAUGGAAAAACCUUCCAUAACAAUUAGAAACCAGUCGUGUUGUUUCAAAAGAUUGUAUCCAAAUAUAUCUCCCUGGAAGUUGUAUAGAAAUAAUUAUAUUGUCUUUUCAGAGCAAUCUUAAUAAAUAAAACUGUAUACCGUAGUAUGAUAAUGAAUGUGACAAUGGCAACAUUUGUUUUGAAAGAUAUAUUAUGCUUUAAUCCUAAACACAGUUGCUGCAGAGAAAACUCUAUAGAAGACGAUGGAACAUACCUCAGAAUGUCAUGCAGAUGAUUGCUCUGUUAUCAUUGUCUUUGGUUUAAAUAGAGAGGGGGGGGGGGAAGAGAGAGAAGACUGCCUGCUUAAAGUGGUUCCUAUAGGGAACUGUUUAGUACAAUUUUAUCUGAAAAGUUGGAUACAACAUUUCAUAGUUACAGAGCUUGUGCCACAUUUUCCCAUGUGAAUCAGAUCUUUUCCCUCCUCUCCACAUUAACCCUUCCAUUUAUGGAAUUCUGUAAUGAACUAGGCAUAUUUUUGUAAUGACAUGGUAUAGCUGAUAUGCAUAAAGUACAAA